GGGUUGUGAGGUUAAGCGACUAAGCGUACACGGUGGAUGCCCUGGCAGUCAGAGGCGAUGAAGGACGUGCUAAUCUGCGAUAAGCGUCGGUGAGGUGAUAUGAACCGUUAUAACCGGCGAUUUCCGAAUGGGGAAACCCAGUGUGUUUCGACACACUAUCAUUAACUGAAUCCAUAGGUUAAUGAGGCGAACCGGGGGAACUGAAACAUCUAAGUACCCCGAGGAAAAGAAAUCAACCGAGAUUCCCCCAGUAGCGGCGAGCGAACGGGGAGGAGCCCAGAGCCUGAAUCAGUGUGUGUGUUAGUGGAAGCGUCUGGAAAGGCGCGCGAUACAGGGUGACAGCCCCGUACACAAAAAUGCACAUAUUGUGAGCUCGAUGAGUAGGGCGGGACACGUGGUAUCCUGUCUGAAUAUGGGGGGACCAUCCUCCAAGGCUAAAUACUCCUGACUGACCGAUAGUGAACCAGUACCGUGAGGGAAAGGCGAAAAGAACCCCGGCGAGGGGAGUGAAAAAGAACCUGAAACCGUGUACGUACAAGCAGUGGGAGCCUCUUCAUGGGGUGACUGCGUACCUUUUGUAUAAUGGGUCAGCGACUUAUAUUCUGUAGCAAGGUUAACCGAAUAGGGGAGCCGAAGGGAAACCGAGUCUUAACUGGGCGUUAAGUUGCAGGGUAUAGACCCGAAACCCGGUGAUCUAGCCAUGGGCAGGUUGAAGGUUGGGUAACACUAACUGGAGGACCGAACCGACUAAUGUUGAAAAAUUAGCGGAUGACUUGUGGCUGGGGGUGAAAGGCCAAUCAAACCGGGAGAUAGCUGGUUCUCCCCGAAAGCUAUUUAGGUAGCGCCUCGUGAAUUCAUCUCCGGGGGUAGAGCACUGUUUCGGCAAGGGGGUCAUCCCGACUUACCAACCCGAUGCAAACUGCGAAUACCGGAGAAUGUUAUCACGGGAGACACACGGCGGGUGCUAACGUCCGUCGUGAAGAGGGAAACAACCCAGACCGCCAGCUAAGGUCCCAAAGUCAUGGUUAAGUGGGAAACGAUGUGGGAAGGCCCAGACAGCCAGGAUGUUGGCUUAGAAGCAGCCAUCAUUUAAAGAAAGCGUAAUAGCUCACUGGUCGAGUCGGCCUGCGCGGAAGAUGUAACGGGGCUAAACCAUGCACCGAAGCUGCGGCAGCGACACUAUGUGUUGUUGGGUAGGGGAGCG
rnacentral:rRNA from 1 species